CUAGUGUAGAGGUGAAAUUCGUAGAUAUUAGAAAGAAUACCAAUUGCGAAGGCAGCUUUCUGGAUCAUUACUGACACUGAGGAACGAAAGCAUGGGUAGCGAAGAGGAUUAGAUACCCUCGUAGUCCAUGCCGUAAACGAUGUGUGUUAGACGUUGGAAAUUUAUUUUCAGUGUCGCAGCGAAAGCGAUAAACACACCGCCUGGGGAGUACGACCGCAAGGUUAAAACUCAAAUGAAUUGACGGGGACCCGCACAAGUAGUGGAGCAUGUGGUUUAAUUCGAAGAUACGCGCAGAACCUUACCAACACUUGACAUGUUCGUCGCGACUCUAAGAGAUUAGAGUUUUCGGUUCGGCCGGACGAAACACAGGUGCUGCAUGGCUGUCGUCAGCUCGUGUCGUGAGAUGUUGGGUUAAGUCCCGCAACGAGCGCAACCCUCACUUUUAGUUGCCAUCAUUUAGUUGGGCACUCUGAAAGAACUGCCAGUGAUAAGCUGGAGGAAGGUGGGGAUGACGUCAAGUCCUCAUGGCCCUUACGUGUUGGGCUACACACGUGCUACAAUGGUAUCUACAACAGGAAGCAAGACUGCGAGGUCAAGCAAAUCCUUAAAAGAUACCUCAGUUCGGAUUGCACUCUGCAACUCGAGUGCAUGAAGCUGGAAUUACUAGUAAUCGUGGAUCAGCGUGCCACGGUGAAUGCGUUCCCGGGUCUUGUACACACCGCCCGUCACACCAUGGGAGUUGGUUCUACCUUAAGGCAAGGUUUAAAACCCUUGACCACGGUAUAGUCAGCGACUGGGGUGAAGUCGUAACAAGGUAGCCGUAGGGGAACCUGCGGCUG
rnacentral:rRNA from 1 species